GGCCGAUGAGGAAGAAAUCCCAGGAAUAGGAAGUGCCGUAUGACACUUUUAAAAAACGCAGCCGA